CCCUUCGGGGUACUCGAGUGGCGAACGGGUGAGUACACGUGGGUGAUCUGCCCUGCACUUUGGGAUAAGCCUGGGAAACUGGGUCUAAUACCGAAUAGGACUACGCGAUGCAUGUCGUGUGGUGGAAAGCUUUUGCGGUGUGGGAUGGGCCCGCGGCCUAUCAGCUUGUUGGUGAGGUUACGGCUCACCAAGGCGACGACGGGUAGCCGGCCUGAGAGGGUGACCGGCCACACUGGGACUGAGAUACGGCCCAGACUCCUACGGGAGGCAGCAGUGGGGAAUAUUGCACAAUGGGCGCAAGCCUGAUGCAGCGACGCCGCGUGAGGGAUGACGGCCUUCGGGUUGUAAACCUCUUUCGCCAGGGACGAAGCGCAAGUGACGGUACCUGGAGAAGAAGGACCGGCCAACUACGUGCCA
rnacentral:rRNA from 1 species